rnacentral:rRNA from 1 species
UACGAAGGGGGCUAGCGUUGCUCGGAAUUACUGGGCGUAAAGGGUGCGUAGGCGGGUCUUUAAGUCAGAGGUGAAAUCCUGGAGCUCAGCUCCAGAACUGCCUUUGAUACUGAGGAUCUUGAGUUCGGGAGAGGUGAGUGGAACUGCGAGUGUAGAGGUGAAAUUCGUAGAUAUUGGGAAGAACACCGAUGGCGAAGGCAGCCAUCUGGACCGACACUGACGCUGAGGCGCGAAAGCGUGGGGAGCAAACAGG